GUUGAACGCUGGCGGCGUGCCUAAUACAUGCAAGUCGAGCCAACAGACGAGGAGCUUGCUCCUCUGACGUUAGCGGCGGACGGGUGAGUAACACGUGGAUAACCUACCUAUAAGACUGGGAUAACUUCGGGAAACCGGAGCUAAUACCGGAUAAUAUAUUGAACCGCAUGGUUCAAUAGUGAAAGACGGUUUUGCUGUCACUUAUAGAUGGAUCCGCGCCGCAUUAGCUAGUUGGUAAGGUAACGGCUUACCAAGGCAACGAUGCGUAGCCGACCUGAGAGGGUGAUCGGCCACACUGGAACUGAGACACGGUCCAGACUCCUACGGGAGGCAGCAGUAGGGAAUCUUCCGCAAUGGGCGAAAGCCUGACGGAGCAACGCCGCGUGAGUGAUGAAGGUCUUCGGAUCGUAAAACUCUGUUAUUAGGGAAGAACAAAUGUGUAAGUAACUAUGCACGUCUUGACGGUACCUAAUCAGAAAGCCACGGCUAACUACGUG
rnacentral:rRNA from 1 species